CCUACGGGUGGCAGCAGUGAGGAAUAUUGGUCAAUGGGCGCGAGCCUGAACCAGCCAAGUCGCGUGAGGGAUGAAGGUUCUAUGGAUCGUAAACUUCUUUUAUAAGGGAAUAAAGUGUGGGACGUGUCCUAUUUUGUAUGUACCUUAUGAAUAAGGAUCGGCUAACUCCGUGCCAGCAGCCGCGGUAAUACGGAGGAUCCGCGCGUUAUCCGGAUUUAUUGGGUUUAAAGGGUGCGUAGGCGGCCUGUUAAGUCAGCGGUGAAAGUUUGUGGCUCAACCAUAAAAUUGCCGUUGAGACUGGGAGGCUUGAGUAUAUUUGAGGCAGGCGGAAUGCGUGGUGUAGCGGUGAAAUGCUUAGAUAUCACGCAGAACCCCGAUUGCGAAGGCAGCCUACCAAGCCAUGACUGACGCUGAUGCACGAAAGCGUGGGGAUCAAACAGGAUUAGAUACCCCAGUAGUC
rnacentral:rRNA from 1 species